rnacentral:rRNA from 1 species
CAAAAACAUAACCUUUAGCCAAAACAAGUAUUAAAGGCAACGCCUGCCCAGUGAAUAAUUAAACGGCCGCGGUACCCUAACCGUGCAAAGGUAGCGUAAUCACUUGUCUAUUAAUUGUAGACCCGUAUGAAAGGCAAAAUGAGGGCCUAACUGUCUCUUAUAAUAAAUCAAUUAAACUGAUCUCCCAGUCCAAAAGCUGGAAUACCAACAUAAGACCAGAAGACCCUGUGAAGCUUAAACUAAACUAUUAAAACACAUAAUAGCUCCUUUAGGUUGGGGCGACCUUGGAAAAAAAAAGAACUUCCAAAGGCUAACAAGCCGACCCAGUACAACUGAUAAUUGAACCAAGUUACUCCAGGGAUAACAGCGCUAUCUUCCUCAAGAGCCCAUAUCAAAAGGAAGGUUUACGACCUCGAUGUUGGAUCAGGACAUCCUAAUGGUGCAGCCGCUAUUAAGGGUUCGUUUGUUCAACGAUUAACAGUCCCACGUGAUCUGA